GAUGAACGCUGGCGGCGUGCUUAACACAUGCAAGUCGAACGGAAAGGCCCAAGCUUGCUUGGGUACUCGAGUGGCGAACGGGUGAGUAACACGUGGGUGAUCUGCCCUGCACUUCGGGAUAAGCCUGGGAAACUGGGUCUAAUACCGGAUAGGACGAUGGCUUGGAUGCCAUUGUGGAAAGCUUUUUCGGUGUGGGAUGAGCUCGCGGCCUAUCAGCUUGUUGGUGGGGUAAUGGCCUACCAAGGCGUCGACGGGUAGCCGGCCUGAGAGGGUGUACGGCCACAUUGGGACUGAGAUACGGCCCAGACUCCUACGGGAGGCAGCAGUGGGGAAUAUUGCACAAUGGGCGCAAGCCUGAUGCAGCGACGCCGCGUGGGGGAUGACGGCCUUCGGGUUGUAAACUCCUUUCGCUAGGGACGAAGCGUUUUUGUGACGGUACCUGGAGAAGAAGCACCGGCUAACUACGUG
rnacentral:rRNA from 1 species